UGUAUGAAGGAAUAAUGGCAUUCUAUU
rnacentral:sRNA from 1 species